rnacentral:rRNA from 1 species
UACAAAGGGGCUAGCGUUGCUCGGAAUCACUGGGCGUAAAGGGUGCGUAGGCGGGUCUUUAAGUCAGGGGUGAAAUCCUGGAGCUCAACUCCAGAACUGCCUUCGAUACUGGCGAUCUUGAGUCCGGAAGAGGUGAGUGGAACUCCUAGUGUAGAGGUGGAAUUCGUAGAUAUUAGGAAGAACACCAGUGGCGAAGGCGGCUCACUGGUCCGGUACUGACGCUGAGGUGCGAAAGCGUGGGGAGCAAACAGG